rnacentral:rRNA from 1 species
GCAGUCGUGCGAGAAAACCCCUUCGGGGGUGAGUACAGCGGCGGACGGGUGAGUAACACGUGAGCGAUCUACCCGGUGGCGGGGGACAACCCAGGGAAACCUGGACUAAUACCGCAUACAGCGGAGGGAGUAGGUGCCCUUCGUGAAAGCUGGCCUCUCCAUGGAAGCUAGCGUCGCCGGAGGAGCUCGCGGCCUAUCAGCUUGUUGGUGGGGUAAAGGCCUACCAAGGCGAUGACGGGUAGCUGACGUGAGAGCGUGACCAGCCACACUGGGACUGAGACACGGCCCAGACUCCUACGGGAGGCAGCAGUGGGGAAUAUUGCGCAAUGGGCGAAAGCCUGACGCAGCGACGCCGCGUGGGGGAGGAAGGCCCUAGGGUUGUAAACCCCUGUCAGGUGGGACGAACCCUGGGUCGACGAAUAGUUGGCUCAGCUGACGGUACCAUCAGAGGAAGCUCCGGCUAACUCCGUGCCAGCAGCCGCGGUAAUACGGAGGGAGCAAGCGUUGUUCGGAAUCACUGGGCGUAAAGCGCGCGUAGGCGGCCGAGUAAGUCGUAUGUGAAAGCCCGGGGCUCAACUCCGGUAUUGCAUGCGAUACUGCCCG